AUACGUAGGGGGCGAGCGUUGUCCGGAAUGAUUGGGCGUAAAGGGCGCGUAGGCGGCCCGGUAAGUCUGGAGUGAAAGUCCUGUUUUUGAGAUGGGAAUUGCUUUGGAUACUGUCGGGCUUGAGUGCAGGAGAGGUAAGUGGAAUUCCCAGUGUAGCGGUGAAAUGCGUAGAGAUUGGGAGGAACACCAGCGGCGAAGGCGACUUACUGGACUGUAACUGACGCUGAGGCGCGAAAGUGUGGGGAGCAAACAGGAUUAGAUACCCUGGUAGUCCACACUGUAAACGAUGAAUGCUAGGUGUAGGGGGUAUCGACCCCUUCUGUGCCGCAGUCAACACAAUAAGCAUUCCGCCUGGGGAGUACGGCCGCAAGGUUGAAACUCAAAUGAAUUGACGGGG
rnacentral:rRNA from 1 species